AUUGAACGCUGGCGGCAUGCUUUACACAUGCAAGUCGAACGAGUGGGGAACGGGGGAGUAAUAUAUUGGAACGUACCGAGUAAUGGGGGAUAACCAAACGAAAGAUUGGCUAAUACCGCAUAUUAUUCGAGCGGCCGAUAACUGAUUAGCUAGUUGGUGGGGUAAAGGCCUACCAGGGCGACGAUCAGAAGCGGGGCUGUGAGGACGAUCAUCCACACUGGGACUGAGACACGGCCCAGACUCCUACGGGAGUCAGGAGUGGGGAAUUUUGGACAAUGGGGGCAACCCUGAUCCAGCCAUGCCGCGUGUAUGAAGAAGGCCUUCGGGGUGUAAAGUACUUUUGUUAGGGUAGCGGUACCUAAAGAAUAAGCACCGGCUAACCACGUGCCAGCAGCCGCGAUAAUUC
rnacentral:rRNA from 1 species